rnacentral:rRNA from 1 species
GCAGGCCUAACACAUGCAAGUCGAGCGGUAACACAAGGGAGCUUGCUCCUGAGGUGACGAGCGGCGGACGGGUGAGUAAUGCCUAGGUAUCUGCCCAAUCGAGGGGGAUAACAGUUGGAAACGACUGCUAAUACCGCAUACGCCCUACGGGGGAAAGGAGGGGACCUUCGGGCCUUCCGCGAUUGGAUGAGUCUAGGUGGGAUUAGCUAGUUGGUGAGGUAAUGGCUCACCAAGGCGACGAUCCCUAGCUGGUCUGAGAGGAUGAUCAGCCACACUGGAACUGAGACACGGUCCAGACUCCUACGGGAGGCAGCAGUGGGGAAUAUUGCACAAUGGGCGAAAGCCUGAUGCAGCCAUGCCGCGUGUGUGAAGAAGGCCUUCGGGUUGUAAAGCACUUUCAGCGAGGAGGAAAGGUUACUGGCUAAUAUCCAGUAGCUGUGACGUUACUCGCAGAAGAAGCACCGGCUAACUUCGUGCCAGCAGCCGCGGUAAUACGAGGGGUGCAAGCGUUAAUCGGAAUUACUGGGCGUAAAGCGUACGCAGGCGGUUUGUUAAGCGAGAUGUGAAAGCCCCGGGCUCAACCUGGGAACUGCAUUUCGAACUGGCAAACUAGAGUCUUGUAGAGGGGGGUAGAAUUUCAGGUGUAGCGGUGAAAUGCGUAGAGAUCUGAAGGAAUACCGGUGGCGAAGGCGGGCCCCUGUACAAAGACUGACGCUCAGGUACGAAAGCGUGGGGAGCAAACAGGAUUAGAUACCCUGUAGUCCACGCCGUAAACGAUGUCUACUCGGAGUUUGGUGUCUUGACACUGGGCUCUCAAGCUAACGCAUUAAGUAGACCCCCUGGGGGAGUACGGGCCGCAAGGUAAAACUCAAAUGAUUGGCGGGGGCCC